UUGAAUCAAUUGAUAUUAAGUGAUAACUAAAAGGGAAUCAGGUGAGAAUCCUGAGCGAUCCGGUCACUGUAAUCAGGGAGUGAAAUCUUCAAAACCAUUGUGUGGAAACAUAUGAGAAGGGAAGAUGAAACGUUGAUCUGUAAGUCAGGAAACCUGCUUAAUAUUGGGAGAUGAA
rnacentral:ncRNA from 2 species